GUAGGGAAUAUUGGACAAUGGGGGGAACCCUGAUCCAGCCAUGCCGCGUGGAGGAAGACUGCCCUCUGGGUUGUAAACUCCUUUUAUAUGGGAAGAACCGUCCUCAUUAAUGAGUGACCUGACGGUACCAUAGGAAUAAGCACCGGCUAACUCCGUGCCAGCAGCCGCGGUAAUACGGAGGGUGCAAGCGUUAUCCGGAUUCACUGGGUUUAAAGGGUGCGUAGGCGGAUAAAUAAGUCAGUGGUGAAAUCAACGGGCUCAACCUGUUAACUGCCAUUGAUACUGUGUAUCUUGAAUAGGAGAGAGGUAGGCGGAAUGUUGCAUGUAGCGGUGAAAUGCUUAGAUAUGCUACGGAACACCGAUUGCGAAGGCAGCUUACUAUUUCGUAAUUGACGCUGAGGCACGAAAGCGUGGGUAGCGAACAGGAUUAGAAACCCGUGUAGUCC
rnacentral:rRNA from 1 species